rnacentral:rRNA from 1 species
UACGUAGGGUGCGAGCGUUGCCCGGAUUUAUUGGGCGUAAAGGGCGCGUAGGCGGCUCUGCACGUCCGUUGUGAAAUCGCCCGGCUCAACUGGGCGGGGUCAGCGGAUACGGCAGAGCUCGAGCAAGCUAGGGGGCAAUGGAAUUCCCGGUGUAGUGGUGGAAUGCGUAGAUAUCGUAAGGAAGACCAGUGGCGAAGGCGGGUCUCUGGACAGUUCCUGACGCUGAGGCACGAAGGUCAGGGGAGCAAACGGG